rnacentral:tRNA from 1 species
CUUCGGUGCGGCGGUGGCGGCCGGGCUGUGGACCCGGCUGGGGCUGGUGACCGAGUCGAUCGUGGCGGCGACCGAGGA